AUGAACGCUGGCGGCGUGCCUAAUACAUGCACGUCGAGCGAACGGACGAGAAGCUUGCUUUUCUGAUGUUAGCGGCGGACGGGUGAGUAACACGUGGAUAACCUACCUAUAAGACUGGGAUAACUUCGGGAAACCGGAGCUAAUACCGGAUAAUAUUUUGAACCGCAUGGUUCAAAAGUGAAAGACGGUCUUGCUGUCACUUAUAGAUGGAUCCGCGCUGCAUUAGCUAGUUGGUAAGGUAACGGCUUACCAAGGCAACGAUGCGUAGCCGACCUGAGAGGGUGAUCGGCCACACUGGAACUGAGACACGGUCUAGACUCCUACGGGAGGCAGCAGUAGGGAAUCUUCCGCAAUGGGCGAAAGCCUGACGGAGCAACGCCGCGUGAGUGAUGAAGGUCUUCGGAUCGUAAAACUCUGUUAUUAGGGAAGAACAUAUGUGUAAGUAACUGUGCACAUCUUGACGGUACCUAAUCAGAAAGCCACGGCUAACCACGCG
rnacentral:rRNA from 1 species